GUCCCUGUGGCGCAAUCUGUCAGGGCGUUAGGCUGUUAACCGAGAGGUUGGUGGUUCGAGCCCCUUCAGGGACG
rfam:Loxodonta africana unplaced genomic scaffold scaffold_127, whole genome shotgun sequence.